UCGAGGAUCUUCGGCAAUGGGCGCAAGCCUGACCGAGCGACGCCGCGUGUGGGAUGAAGGCCUUCGGGUUGUAAACCACUGUCAGAGGGGAUGAAAUGCCGUUGGGUACUCUCAGCGGUUUGACAGAUCCUCAGAGGAAGGGUGGGCUAAGUUCGUGCCAGCAGCCGCGGUAAGACGUACCACCCAAACGUUAUUCGGAAUCACUGGGCUUAAAGCGUCCGUAGGCGGUCAGGAAAGUUGGGUGUGAAAUCCCUCAGCUCAACUGAGGAAUUGCGCUCAAAACUACCUGGCUCGAGAAAGACAGAGGUGAGCGGAACUGAUGGUGGAGCGGUGAAAUGCAUUGAUAUCAUCAGGAACACCGGUGGCGAAAGCGGCUCACUGGGUCUUUUCUGACGCUGAUGGACGAAAGCUAGGGGAGCGAACGG
rnacentral:rRNA from 1 species